GGGGUUUUAGCUCAGUGGUAGAGCACUUGCCUAGCAAGCACAAGGCCCUGGGUUCGGUCCUCAGCUCCA
rnacentral:tRNA from 1 species